GGAAUCUUCGGCAAUGGGCGAAAGCCUGACCGAGCGACGCCGCGUGUGCGAUGAAGGCCUUUUGGUUGUAAAGCACUGUCGAAGGGGAGCAAGCCGCAAGGUUGAGAGUACCCUUGGAGGAAGCACGGGCUAAGUUCGUGCCAGCAGCCGCGGUAAGACGAACCGUGCGAACGUUAUUCGGAAUCACUGGGCUUAAAGGGUGCGUAGGCGGGUGGACAAGUCGAGGGUGAAAGCCUCUAGCUUAACUAGAGAAGUGCCCUCGAUACUGUUUGUCUUGAGAGAGAUAGGGGCACACGGAACUUCCGGUGGAGCGGUGAAAUGCGUAGAUAUCGGAAGGAACGCCGGUGGCGAAAGCGGUGUGCUGGAUCUUUUCUGACGCUGAGGCACGAAAGCUAGGGUAGCGAACGGGAUUAGAUACCCCGGUAGUCCUAGCCCUAAACGAUGAGUACUAGAUUGUGGACUGACAUGGGUUCACAGUCGAAGCAAAAGUAUUAAGUACUCCGCCUGGGGAGUAUGGUCGCAAGGCUGAAACUCAAAUGAAUUGACGG
rnacentral:rRNA from 1 species